AUUGAACGCUGGCGUCAGGCCUAACACAUGCAAGUCGAACGAGUGGCGGACGGGUGAGUAAUGUCUGGGAAAAUGCCUGAUGGAGGGGGAUAACUACUGGAAACGGUAGCUAAUACCGCAAAACAUGAGUUGUGCCGCGCUUGGCGUAGCUUGUUGGUGGGGUAACGUCGCACCAAGGCGACGAUCCCGAGCUGGUCUGCGAGGAUGACCAGCCACACUGGAACUGAGACACGGCCCAGACUCCUACGGGAGGCAGCAGUGGGGAAUAGUGCACAAUUGGCGCAAGCCGGAUGCAGCCAUGCCGCGUGUAUGAAGAAGGCCUUCGGGUUGUAAAGUACUUUCAGCGGGGAGGCGUUACCCGCAGAAGAAGCACCGGCUAACGCCGUGCCAGCAGCCGCGGUAAUUC
rnacentral:rRNA from 1 species